GAAAAUAUGAAAAACUUCAGAACUUCACAGUGACUUGAUUAGUAAGUACUUCAGUACCAUUCAGUUUUAACCUCGAGAUAUCAGAUAUUUACCAGCAACUUCAUCAUGGCUGAUAGAGAUUCAAAGGCAAAUACUGACAAUCGGGCCACACAGCUAAAUGCCAACAAUGACAGAUUCUAUCAAAGUAGAGGGCUUGAUUCUAGGCCAGAUAAUUGGAAGGAUACUGCUUCAGCCGGUGGCCAGGGAUAUACCCAACAGGAUAGAGACAACAGAUCCAAUCAGCUGAAUCCCAACAAUGACGCUUAUGGAAAAUCCAGGCAAAAUUAGCAAAUAUUUACUAACGCCAAUGCAUAUUAAUACUGUGUAUUUUAAUUCAUUUUUGACAUAGUGUUACUUUAAUAAUAUUUCAAUAAUAAAAUGAAUUUAUAACCAA
rnacentral:lncRNA from 1 species